rnacentral:rRNA from 1 species
GUAGGGAAUAUUGGACAAUGGGGGCAACCCUGAUCCAGCGACGCCGCGUGAGUGACGAAGGCCUUCGGGUCGUAAAGCUCUGUUGCAAGGGAAAAACAAAAUGAUGGUACCUUGCUAGAAAGGAUCGGCUAACUUCGUGCCAGCAGCCGCGGUAAGACGAGGGAUCCUAGCGUUGUUCGGAAUUAUUGGGCGUAAAGCGGGUGUAGGUGGCUUUGUAAGUCAGGUGUGAAAGCCUGGGGCUUAACCCCAGAAGUGCAUUUGAUACCGCGAAGCUUGAGUGCUGGAGAGGCUACUAGAAUUCUUGGUGUAGUGGUGAAAUACGUAGAUAUCAAGAGGAAUACCGGAGGCGAAGGCGGGUAGCUGGCCAGACACUGACACUCAGACCCGAAAGCGUGGGGAUCAAACAGGAUUAGAAACCCCGGUAGUCC